rnacentral:rRNA from 1 species
UACGGGGGGGGCAAGCGUUGUUCGGAAUUACUGGGCGUAAAGGGCUCGUAGGUGGCCAACUAAGUCAGACGUGAAAUCCCUCGGCUUAACCGGGGAACUGCGUCUGAUACUGGAUGGCUUGAGUUCGGGAGAGGGAUGCGGAAUUCCAGGUGUAGCGGUGAAAUUCGUAGAUAUUGGGAAGAACACCGGUGGCGAAGGCGGCCAUCUGGACCGCAACUGACGCUGAGGCGCGAAAGCGUGGGGAGCAAACAGG